UGAUUCCGCAUCCUUCCCAGAUCAGCGUCAUCCAAGCAACCCUCCUAAGCACCGCGUCCGUGAUCGGCUCAUCCCACGCGCUUCCUUCCUUCCGCGACUGGUCCACCAUCCACCGAGGCCAUGAUCGGCUCCUCCCGAGAUCUCGCGGCCGGCCGUGAAGCAUCCCGAAAUACCAGCGCCCCACAGCCGGUUCAGCCCCUCCUCCGCGCUCAUCAUCCACGGAUCUACCCCCCUUGGAAUCCCGGCGACCACAUUCUUCACGCGGUCGAAAUCCCAGCCAUCCGCCCCUUCCGCAUCAGGAGUCCGGCGAUCUCGCUUCCGCGGCCAAAGAGGGAAGUCGACCGGAGCAAUCCGCCACCAUUUCCUCCUCCUUCCCAGCAUCCCGGAUGAUCCGUGAUUCCACCCAAAAUCCAAGUGACCCUGCAGCUAUAAGAGGAGAAGGAGAAAGAGGGGAGCGGUGUGCUCGGUUGGGGUCGGUUCCAAAGAACAGAGGAGGGAGGAGAAGAUGAGCGAGAGGGGAAGAGACUGCCGGUUUGGGUGGUCGGUUCCAAAGAACAGAGGAAGGAGAAGACAAGCGGGUCGGGAGAGGAGUGUUCAUGCUCUGUUUUCAAACAUAGCACAGUGCUUUGUUUUGUUUUGUUUUUUUUCUUUUUCUUUUUCUUUUCAUGAUUAGUUUUAUUUUAAUUAAGAGCAAUGUGUUGUUUUUAGUCUGAAUUUUAAUUGAGAGCAAUGUGUUUUGAGUUUGAGUUUUAAUUGAGAACAAUGUUUUAAGUUUUAACUUUAGAGAAUUUUAUUUUGGUGGAGUGUUUUACUUUUAAGAUUUUAUUUAUGCUGAAAUUUUAAUUUCUUUUAUGCAAUACAUUAAAUCUUCUAUUAUGAAAUUUAUGUUUGCUUCAAUCCUCUUAGUUUCAUCCAUUUUAAUUUUUUGCCAGAGCUUUCUUUUUCAUUAAAUAUAUAAAUGCUUUUUGAAUCUAAGUACAUGUCUUCUAGUUAAUUUCAAUUAAAAAUCAUUCUCCGGUAGACUAGAGAAUCCAUCAACAUCCCUGACGUAAUGUUUUUCUUUUGUUAUUCAAAAAUCGCUUUUGAAUCCGAGGGAACG
rnacentral:lncRNA from 1 species